AUCACUUGUGAUGAUCAAAAUGAUACUUUUGUUAUUAUGAGAUUUUAGAUGCGAAAAAACUUUGGAGACCUGAACUGAAGAGAU